ACCUGGGUGGCUCAGUUGGUUAAGCAUCUAACUUUGGCUUAGGUCACCAUCUCACGGUUUGUGAGUUCAAGUCUUACAUCAAGUG
rnacentral:tRNA from 1 species